AGUGGAGGACCGAACCGUAGUACGCUAAAAAGUGCCCGGAUGACUUGUGGGUAGGGGUGAAAUUCCAAUCGAACUUGGAGAUAGCUGGUUCUCCUCGAAAUAGCUUUAGGGCUAGCGUGUAAUGUUAAGUGAUGGGGGUAGAGCACUGAAUAUGGAAUGGCGGCGCCUAGCCGUACUGACUAUAAUCAAACUCCGAAUACUAUCAUGUACUAUUAUGCAGUCGGUACAUCGGUGAUAACGUCGAUGCACGCGAGGGAAACAACCCAGAUCGUCAGCUAAGGUCCCAAAAUUGUGUUAAGUGAGAAAGGUUGUGGAGUUUCUUAAACAGCUAGGAUGUUGGCUCAGAAGCAGCCACCAUUUAAAGAGUGCGUAAUAGCUCACUAGUCGAGAGACUUUGUGCCGAUAAUUCAACGGGACUAAAACACAAUACCGAAGCUACGGGCAUGUAAAUGCGUUAGAGGAGCGUUCUAAGGGCAUUGAAGCUAGACUGUAAAGACUAGUGGAGCGCUUAGAAGUGAGAAUGCCGGUAUGAGUAACGAUUCAAAGUGAGAAUCUUUGACGCCUAUUGGGGAAGGUUUCCUGGGCAAGGUUCGUCCACCCAGGGUUAGUCGGGUCCUAAGACGAGGCCGAAAGGCGUAGCCGAUGGACAACAGGUUAAUAUUCCUGUACUUUCUUGAAUGUGAUGGAGUGACGGGGGAGGAUAGUUUUACCACUUAUUGGAUUGUGGGGUAAGUAGAGACUGGGUGAUGUUGGCAAAUCCGCAUCACAUUAACCGGAACAUACGAUGCAUAGUGAAAGGGCAACCAAGUAGCGAAUUAAAUGAUUUCAUACCUCUUAAAAAAGCUUCUAGCUAUAAAUUCUGUGAAACCCGUACCGAGAACGGACACACGUCCCCAAGAUGAGUAUUCUAAGGCGAGCGAGAAAACCAAUGUCAAGGAACUCUGCAAAUUCAUCCCGUAAGUUCGCAAGAAGGGAUGCCCAUAGUAACAUAUGGGCCGCAGUGAAUAGUAAGGGGGAACUGUUUAUCAAAAACACAGCUCUAUGCUAAGUCGUAAGACGAUGUAUAUGGGGUGACUCCUGCCCAGUGCCCGAAGGUUAAGCAAAGGUGUUAGCGUAUGCGAAGCAUUGAUGUGAAGCCCGGGUGAACGGCGGCCGUAACUAUAACGGUCCUAAGGUAGCGAAAUUCCUUGUCGGCUAAGUUCCGACCCUCACGAAAGGCGUAACGAUUUGG
rnacentral:rRNA from 1 species